rnacentral:rRNA from 1 species
UAGCUGGUCUGAGAGGAUGACCAGCCACACUGGAACUGAGACACGGUCCAGACUCCUACGGGAGGCAGCAGUGGGGAAUAUUGGACAAUGGGGGCAACCCUGAUCCAGCAAUGCCGCGUGUGUGAAGAAGGCCUGAGGGUUGUAAAGCACUUUCAGUGGGGAGGAGGGUUGAUAGGUUAAGAGCUGAUUAACUGGACGUUACCCACAGAAGAAGCACCGGCUAACUCCGUGCCAGCAGCCGCGGUAAUACGGAGGGUGCAAGCGUUAAUCGGAAUUACUGGGCGUAAAGGGUGCGUAGGUGGUUGAUUAAGUUAUCUGUGAAAUUCCUGGGCUUAACCUGGGACGGUCAGAUAAUACUGGUUGACUCGAGUAUGGGAG